rnacentral:lncRNA from 1 species
AAGGAAGAGAGAGAGAGAGAGAGAGAGAGAGAGAAAUCGGAAGAAAAAAGAGAGAGCAAAUCACUAGAAAAAAUGGGGAGAGGAGAGAGUCACGGUGGAGGGGAUUGAAAGCCAAAAGUGUUUCCAAUAUCUACGAACACCGAUGCAUUGUAAGGAAAGUUUUCACUGGAUAAUCCAUUUUAUUCCCUAUGUUGAUUUCAAACUCUUUCCUCCUUCGACUGAAAUUUUGCAAUAGUGGGUAUAUGGUUGUGUAUGUGCAGACAGGUGGAGAAGGAAUGUUGCACCACAAGUCUAGCCCAUCUGAGAUCCAAGGAAGAGUAAAAGUAAUUUUUACUUUAAAUCCCCAUAUCUGUUAUAAUAUAGUUUAUCUAGAUUUCAUUCAAUAUUGUAGUGUUGUAAUGAUGAUGAUUUGUAUGAAGAUUUAUGGAUAUUUUAAUUUAUGGAUGCAAAAAAAAAAUCUUGAAGAGUAUGAACAUAUCAAUCUGUAGUGUAGGCUAUGAGCAUGGUUUAGAUGCCUCUAGAGUUUUAGUGAAGAAGAUGAGAUAUCAUGGGUUAGGUUUGUAGGCUUUUGG